CUGAGGGAUCCCCAGCGCCAAGGGAGUCCGGCGCUGGAGAAAGGUAAGUGCUGAAGACACACACUUACAGACGCAUACACACUAGCUAACAGACACACACAUUUACUGACAGAGACACACUCAGCGACAGACAUACAUACACACUCACUUACAAAACAUACACUCUCAUUGACAAACACACACUCACUAACAGACAUCAAACAGAAUCACUAACACACACACACACUCAGUAAGACACACACAGUAACACACACACUAACACUCACUAACACUCACUAGCAG